rnacentral:hammerhead_ribozyme from 15 species
AACUGGUCGGGGGCUGAUGCCGCUCUCCUGAUGAGAUCAUGGCAAACCGAAACUAGUU